GUGGAUUCUCAAGCGUGAGGUAAGGGCAAUUGGUGGAUGCCUUGGCAUACACAGGCGAUGAAGGACGUGGCACGCUGCGAUAAGCUGCGGUGAGGUGUGAGCAACCUUUGACCCGCAGAUUUCCGAAUGGGGAAACCCACCUUCACCAUUUAUCUUCAACAUCGUUUCGGCGGUGUUGGGGUUAGAUGGUAUGAAAGGUAUCACCGAGGUGAAUAAAAUAGCUUUGGUGAAGCGAACCCGGGGAACUGAAACAUCUCAGUACCUGGAGGAAAAGACAUCAACCGAGAUUCCGUUAGUAGUGGCGAGCGAACGCGGACCAGGCCAGUGCCUGAUAUUCAACUAGCAGAACACUUUGGAAAGAGUGGCCAUAGCGGGUGACAGCCCCGUAUGCGAAAGUGAUGUAUCAGGCCUUGAGUAGGGCGGGACACGUGUAAUCCUGUCUGAACAUAGGGGGACCACCCUCUAAGCCUAAAUACUCGUGUAUGACCGAUAGCGAACAAGUACCGUGAGGGAAAGGUGAAAAGCACCCCGAUGAGGGGAGUGAAACAGUACCUGAAACCGGUUGCCUACAAGCAGUGGGAGCUCUUUUAUGGAGUGACCGCGUACCUCUUGCAUAAUGGGUCAGUGACUUAAUAUAUCAAGCAAGCUUAAGCCGUUAGGUGUAGGCGCAGCGAAAGCGAGUCUGAAUAGGGCGAUUGAGUUUGAUGUAUUAGACCCGAAACCCGGCGAUCUAGGCAUGACCAGAGUGAAGGUGGGGUAACACCCACUGGAGGCUCGAACCGAUUAACGUUGAAAAGUUACCGGAUGAGUUGUGUUUAGGGGUGAAAGGCCAAUCAAGCCGGGAAAUAGCUGGUUCUCCGCGAAAACUAUUGAGGUAGUGCCUCGGACGAAUACCUUGGGGGGUAGAGCACUGGAUGGGCUAGGGGGUCGCGAGACCUACCAAACCUAACCAAACUCCGAAUACCCAAGAGUAAUAUCCGGGAGACAGACGGCGGGUGCUAAGGUCCGUCGUCAAAAGGGAAACAGCCCUAACCUACAGCUAAGGUCCCCAAGUCAUCACUAAGUGGGAAAGCAUGUGGGAACCCCAAAACAACCAGGAGGUUGGCUUAGAAGCAGCCAUCCUUUAAAGAAAGCGUAACAGCUCACUGGUCUAGAUAAGGGUUCCUGCGGCGAAGAUGUAACGGGGCUCAAGUGAUGCACCGAAGCUUAGGGUUUGGACUUCGGUCCAAGCGGUAGCGGAGCGUUCCGUACGCCAGUGAAGCGGGAGGGUAACCGACCGUGGAGGUAUCGGAAGUGCGAAUGCUGACAUGAGUAGCGAUAAACAGGGUGAGAUGCCCUGUCGCCGAAAGACCAAGGGUUCCUGCGCAAGGCUAAUCCGCGCAGGGUGAGCCGGCCCCUAAGACGAGCCCGAAGGGGGUAGUCGAUGGGAACCACGUUAAUAUUCGUGGGCCUGGAGGUGUGUGACGGAUCUCUUAAGUUGUAUGCCCUUAUCGGAUUGGGUGUGCUUCGACGAGGUUCCAGGAAAUAGCC
rnacentral:rRNA from 2 species